rnacentral:tRNA from 1 species
UGGGGUUGGGGCUCAGUGGUAGAGCAUUUGCCUAGCAUGUGUGAGGCACUGAGUUCAAUCCUCAGCACCACAA